UACGUAGGGUCCGAGCGUUGUCCGGAAUUAUUGGGCGUAAAGGGCUCGUAGGCGGUCUGUUGCGUCGGGAGUGAAAGCCCGAGGCUCAACCUCGGAACUGCCUUCGAUACUGCGGGUCUCGAGUCCGGGAGAGGUGAGUGGAAUUCCUAGUGUAGAGGUGAAAUUCGUAGAUAUUAGGAAGAACACCAGUGGCGAAGGCGGCUCACUGGCCCGGUACUGACGCUGAGGCGCGAAAGCGUGGGGAGCAAACAGG
rnacentral:rRNA from 1 species